UGUUGAUACAAUGCAACAACUUGGAAUAAUCUCUAGAGAAUUACGCCGAAUGGAAAAAAAAAAGCCAAUCUCAAGUUGGUUACAUACUGUAUUAUUCCCUUUAUAUAACAUUCUUGAAAUAAUAAAUAUAAUAAAAAUUAUAGCAAUGAAGAACAGAUUGGUGGACGGUGGCAGGAGGAUAAUGGGUAUGGCGACCAGAAGUCAACAUGAGGGAUCCUUGUGAUUAUGAAAUGUUCUGUAUCUCAACAUUAUCAGUGCCAAUAUCCUGGUUGUGAUACAGUGUCAUAAUUUUUCAAGAUGUAACCAUAGGGGAAAAAUGGGUAAAGGAUAUAUGGCACCUCUCUGUAUUAUUUCUUACAAGUGUAUAUGAAUCUACUAUUAUACAAAGGUUAAAAGCUUAAUUAAAAAAUCAAAUGACCACCAGAAACAGGUUAUUGGGAUAGUCCAGAGGAGAAAGAACAUUGAUUAACACUAUUCGGGUCGUAGUAUAAAUGAAAGAAAUGUGGUUUGGCGUAAUAUAUUGGAGGAACAAUGCACACGAUUUACAAUGGGUUGUUAACGAGGAAGGGAGAUAAAUGGUGAAGAAAUCCCUCCAGAGUUUGGAGUGAAGUAACCAGGUGAACAGUAGCACACUUUAUUUAGAUGGAAAAGCUUGGGACACAAGUAGAAUGAGGAGAAAGAGCGAGAUUUUAAUGUUGGAUUAUUUUUUAAUUUAAAACUCACAUAGGGGAAUAUUUGCUGGCAAAAACUGUGAAGGAGCUUUACAAAAGGCAGGACUAAACGGAACUCAGAAAGGAGAGCGUUCUAAGGAACAAAGAUGAGCAUUUACCUGGACUACUGCUAGAAUAUCCAGCAGGAUGGUAAGUAGACAGUGUCCAGUGGAUUUUCACCAUGGACGUCACGGGUGGCCAUGUCAAGAGCGAUUUUUUUGUAGCGAUUUGGUGGGAGAAGUGAAAGUGUAGUGGAAUAAAGAGUGAAUGUUGGGUGAGAAUUCUGAGUGAGUGUUGAUUGCCACUUUUAGAAGUUUAACUGUGAAGGAACCCAGAAAAACAGGGGUCUUGAAGAGGGCAAUGUGGCCUUAACAGAAUGUUUAAGAUAAGAGUUAGUUAGCAUACUAAAGAAAUGAUUCAGUGAAAACAUAGAAUUUGAAGAGGCUGGAAAGAAAGAUGUAACCAACAGAGCAAAUCCCUUUAAAAGUGAGACUGGAUACAAUAUAGAUCUUUUAUUUCGGGUUUAGCUUUUCUACCAAGAGGAUGGAGAUAUUUUCUAAUAUAAUGCAGCAAAGAAGGGUACAGCGCAGGGCACAUAAUUUUAGUGGGUGGUGUGGGAAGAUGAUUCAGCUCUCACCUAAUGGGAUCUAUUUCUCAGUGAGUUGUUAGGCAAGAUCAUCAAGUUAAGAGAAGGGGGCGUAGAGGCUAGAAGAACAUGGAAGAGACUGGUUAUAGAUGUUGGGGUUUCAGGGAAAAUAAUGUUUAUCAGUUAAUCGAAAUAAUGUUAAUCAAACAUGAACUUAUUGAUUUCUAGUGACUGUGUGCUCAUAACUGCCCAGACGAGUCAGGUUUCUGUCCUUCCCACGUGCCCCAAAACUUUGGCUUGCACAAGUGCUCAAGCAAUAAGGUGCAGAACAUCCCCUGAACAGCUCAUGCAGAGAAACACUUCCUGUUAGUCCCCGGAUCAUGCUGUCUGCUCACGCCUACUGAUACAAGCAAACCCCUUUCCUGCUUGAUUUUGAGGUGCUUGCAGAUCCCAAGGUCAGAGUGUUUCCCUGUUGCAAUAGUCUUUUCCAGUAAACUCUUCCCUUACUAGGUCCAGAUUUCCUUUUGACGCUGGACAAUGUUGAUUGCCCAUUUAGCCUGUAGGUAAUUUUGAAUUCGUGGUGAUACCCAAUAGCCCAAAAUGAGUCAUCUAAGAAGCGACAGCCCUGGGAACAACCCUCCCUGAUUUUCCUUCAUUUUCCUGGUUAGGCAGACUCUCCAGUGAACAAGCUCCCCGACCGACAUUUUGGGUGGGUCGGUUAUUCUGGGUCACCCUUGGAGGUAAAAAUUUCAAACCCCUCCA
rnacentral:lncRNA from 1 species